rnacentral:rRNA from 1 species
AGUGAACGCUGGCGGUAGGCCUAACACAUGCAAGUCGAACGGCAGCACAGUAAGAGCUUGCUCUUACGGGUGGCGAGUGGCGGACGGGUGAGGAAUACAUCGGAAUCUACUUUUUCGUGGGGGAUAACGUAGGGAAACUUACGCUAAUACCGCAUACGACCUACGGGUGAAAGCAGGGGAUCUUCGGACCUUGCGCGAUUGAAUGAGCCGAUGUCGGAUUAGCUAGUUGGCGGGGUAAAGGCCCACCAAGGCGACGAUCCGUAGCUGGUCUGAGAGGAUGAUCAGGCACAACUGGAACGAGACAAGGGCCCAGCUCCCUAGGGGAGGAAGCAGGGGGGAAUAUUGACAAUGGGCGCAAGCCUGAUCCAGCCAUACCGCGUGGGUGAAGAAGGCCUUCGGGUUGUAAAGCCCUUUUGUUGGGAAAGAAAAGCAGCAGGUUAAUACCCCGCUGUUCUGACGGUACCCAAAGAAUAAGCACCGGCUAACUUCGUG